rnacentral:rRNA from 1 species
UACGUAGGGUGCAAGCGUUGUCCGGAAUUAUUGGGCGUAAAGAGCUCGUAGGCGGCUUGUCACGUCGGGUGUGAAAGCCCGGGCUUAACCCCGGGUCUGCAUUCGAUACGGGCUAGCUAGAGUGUGGUAGGGGAGAUCGGAAUUCCGUGGUGAGCGGUGAAAUGCGCAGAUAUCAGGAGGAACACCGGUGGCGAAGGCGGAUCUCUGGGCCAUUACUGACGCUGAGGAGCGAAAGCGUGGGGAGCGAACAGG